rnacentral:misc_RNA from 1 species
GUUAAAAUGUCCAUAUUUUAGCCAUUUCAGAUGUUAUCAUGUAUACUGGUUCACUGGUUCUUUAUCUUUUUGAAUAUGCUAAAAGUUAGCAUAUUACACACACAAACUUCAAUAAUAAAGACUAGCAAAUAGUCACUUAGUGUUUAUGCAUAUUUGUAUAUUCAUUCGAAUUCCAUCAAUGUUUCACCCAUUUUAUUUCUUCAGAGUGAUUUUAUUUCUUCAUAUUGGCUAUAGCAUUAACCACUAUAGAAUCACACAAGUUUAUUCCUAAUGAAAAUUUUCUUCUUCAAUUAGGACCUUGAGACAUAU